GAAAUGCCUACCUAUGGGAAAGCUGUAAGGAUUAACUUCCCGACAUAGGAGAAGCACUAAAAAUACUUAAUAUAAUUAAUAAUCAUCACGUAGCUUCUGAAUUUCUCUCCAGCCUCAUUUCCUGGCAUUUUCCACUCUGACCCCUAUUUCCUGAGCAUCUCAGACCCUCCUGCUGUUACCUAUCUCUGAGCACUUCCUGUCCCCCACUGUAGCUUGCCAAGUAACCAUUAUCCUUUAAAUCUUAGCCAGAUUUCUGAAGCUUCCCUUUCUCUUCCAGGCAGAAUUAGACACUCCUUCCCUGUGACACUUUAACCCUUGAAAAUACUGUGUCACUGAUUUUAAGUAUUAUUCCCUCGUGUCUUAGCACCUCUGUAAUCAGGGUUCACUUGGUAGCCUGUCUGCUCUUCUCAAUGGCAUACAGCUUAUCCAUUAUUCUUUCUGCAUCUCAUGUCCUUUUUUCCACAUCUUUGUAACCUGAAGAAAAUAGAAUCCAUGUGCUAGCUUUCCACUCUCAGGGGCUAGACAAAGUAUUCAAUCAAAUAAGAGUAAAGGAACAAACAACACAGGCAGUGGCUGAUUUUAUCAGGUAGUACACGGUCUCUGUAUAAAUGCUAACAUCUCACAGGUGACAACAGAUAGCAGUACUACAGCACUUAGUAUGUGCCCAGUCCCACAUAGAGUCUUCAUAGGUAUUAAUUAACCUACUUCAUCUUCACAAAAAUAUAAUGAGCUAGAGUUUAUUUUUACCUUCAUUUCACAGAUGGGGAGAAUGAACUUCGGGGAGGUUAAACAAGAUGCCCAGGAUCCUGUAGCUGUUGAGGUGGGAUUUGAACCCAGGUUAUUUGGCUUUCAAGCCCACAUCUCGAAUUCUUACUCAUGGCUCUUUUACUGUGUGAUGGUAGAUUAAGUUAGGUUUUUUUUAGCCAAGCAUUUAAAGUCACCCGCAGUUUGCCUGGCAGUCCAUCCAGUUAUCUUGUUCGUGAACUCCCAAUUAAGAUGGGCCCACAUCUUACCAUCUGAUUAUUUUCCUUUCUCUGCCUGUAGUCACACCUGUGUUUUCAUUAUCAGCUGUUCAAACAUCCAACUGGCUUCAAACGUCAUCCCAACCCAUCCUCAUCAUGUGUUUGGAGUCCACUCUGCCCCACCAAGUAAAAGCUUCCUUCUGAAUUGACUUGUAGUAGCCUUUGGAAAUUAGCCACGGGACACUGUAGGCAGAUAUUUUACCGCUGCAUUAGAGUCUAUAUCCUGAUAGCUUUUUCUAAAGGUUUCCAUGGCAAACUGUCAACUACGUGAGGAUAAGUAGGUCUUAGAAGUCUUUGUGUUCCUCUCCAAACUCUUCCGAUUUUAGUAGUCCCUAAAGUGGUAAGGAUUAAAUAAAGGUGGGAUCCAUAGGGUUGGUCUAAUAUGAUAAAUUGCAGCUCUAUCAUACAGACGGUGGUAUUAACAGUUCACUCUUCUGUCAUUCAGCUUACAUAUAUUGAGUAGUUAUGCCCUAGGAAUGAAGCUAAUUAUUAGCUGCAAUAGCUGCUAAUAACAGCCAUUGAAAUUUCCUGAGCUCUUGCUGUUUCUCAGACAUCAUGCUGAGAUACGUAGGUACCUUCAGUCCCCUACAAUAGCCCCAGAGUCCUGACAAUAGACCUGAAAAUUGCUAACACUAUACAUUUUAUCUUAUAAGCAUCUUAGACAUAUGGUCUGUCUACUUUCCUUCAUCCUUUUAUGCCUGACAAUUUUAGUAAAUGUUUGUUACUAAGCUAAAUGGAUAUAUUAAUGUUUCUGUUUACAAAACCUUCCCCAGAGAUUACAAUAUUAUCUAUUAUUCUACCUUGGGUCUUCCUGGCAUUCAUUCCUGAUGAAAAGAAGUUGGCAUGUUGACUCAAUAGAUAAGGACACCUUACCUCAAGCCUGAUGACUUGAGUUUUAUCCUGAGACUAACACAAUGGAAGGAGAAAACCAACUCCAUCAAGGUGUCCUCUGAUGUCUACAUGCACACCUAAACAUGCAUACACAUGUACACAUAUGCACACAAGAUGCACACAUGCAUACACAUACACACAUAUGAAUAAAUGAUGCAGAUUUUAAAAAUGUUGAAUAGUUUAGCAUAAAGGUAAUCUUACCAUAUUAACUGUCUAUAGGGUGGAGUUAGAACCAAUCAACCCACCUUGUUUAUCUACCUACGUCUCCUCCUCUUUGUCCUCCUUCCUUUUUCUCUUCCUCCUUUCCUUUGAAUGAUAAGACCCCAAAGCAAGUAAGAUUUGGUGCAUUUGGUGUGUAAGUCUAGACAGCCUCUGUGUUUUGUCUUUGGUUUUUAACUUGGUCUUCUGUGUUCCAAUUGGUUCUGGUAUUGUUUCACAGUUUGUGAAACUUUCAUCUCUUUCUUCUGAUAUUCUAGUUUUCUUUUCACAUCUUUUACCCAAGCACAAGAUAUGAUUUACUCAGGAUAAACAAGAGAAUUUUGUAUAAUACAGAUUGUUUUACACACACACACACACACACAUACACACACACCCCAUUUCUUGUAAGAUACUCUUACAAGAUGUGGCAGCCCAAAGAACAUCGAGAGUCAAACCCACAGUUCACCGUCUUUGUCCUACAGAUACAACAAUAAAUUCCAGCUCCGUGGAUGUGGGGACUGGGAGGGGGAGCACUCCGGCAACUCUUUUCACAGAGUGCUAAGUUUAAAGUCAAGUUGAACUAUUGUGAAUUGUGAUCAUAAAAACAACAAUUCCUUUGAGUCAGUCUCACUUUCUACUUAUGUCAAAUUAAAAUAACAUUCUUGCAUCAUUGUGUGGUACAGAGUUGAUAUUCUACAACUAGAGAGUAUAAGAUGGUGGCAAUGAGUAUUCAGUACAUGGAUUUACUUAAAAGAAAGAAAGCUGUGCUUAGCUUUAAUUCAUAUAUAUAUAUAUAUUGUAUGUUUCUAUGUAUAUAAAAUAUAUGUACUAUAUAUGUAUUGUAUGUGUAUAUAUGUGUGUGUAUGUAUAUGUGUGUGUGUAUGUGUAUACACACACACACACACAUAUAUGCACACACAUACACACUCUUGGGAAUUUUCUUUCCACCUUAAUUUAGAUCUAUAGUAACAAUGACAUCAUAUCUAAGAGCACAAUAUACACAUAUGUAUACACACAAACACAUACACAAAUGCAUACGUGUGUGCACACACAUACAUUCAAUUGGUGGUCAGCUGCCGUGUUUUGAUAAAUAAAUAUUAGCCAGAGAGUGAUGGAUUAAUGCAUGAGGUAAGUGGUAUUUCGGUCAUCUGGACAGCACAGAAGUACUAGGGGCAGUCCAGCCCUCAGCUAUCCCCUGGUUUCCAAGUAUUCGAGAGACCUUGCUUCUUACUUUGCAGCUACAUCUCUUCUGUGUUUCCAGCCCUUGCAUUUAAGAGUCACAUGGCCAUACAUGUGACUGCCAUGGUACUGGUCAGAGCACACAAGCAUCAGUCACAGCCUAGCCCCUUCUCCUUUUGUCUGGACAACUGUAAGGCUGUCGGGAGUGGAAAGUAGCCAGUGACACUCAACUUGGGUUGAGUUGCAUGAGAGCCUUGCCAACUCAGGCUUAGAAGGAGCUUAAGUGAACAAGCCACUGCCAGUUAAUAGUCAGCCUCACCUAUCAGAAUAUAUAAAGCUGCAGCCUACAGGCUGUUAGCAGUGUCCUUGGACUUAAUUUACAUAGUGGGAAAGAAUUGUUUAUUUUCUUUCAUCCGUCUCUUUAUCUAUUCACAUUCAACAUUUUUCUAACACCUUUUCAUCAGUCUGGUUGUUGAAAAAGGCCCCACUGCCUCUGCUUUCGAGGGACCCAGACCUAGCUGGACACAUAAGAAAACCACACUACAGUGUGUGAUAAAAGAGUCAGAUAGAGGAGGGAAAUGGGAACCAGAGAAAGGGACACUGAUCCAGGUUUGGGGCCCUUUGAGCUGUGCCUUAGUGGACGAAUGACACUUUCGCUGACUGAGCAAAUAGUAACCAGCUAAUAUCUGCCAUGUGCUGUGGACAGAGCGGUGCACAAGACAAACAGAUGGUAAAUAAAGACAAACCAGCAAAUUCAUUUCAGAGAUUACUGAAAAUUACAAAGUCAC
rnacentral:lncRNA from 1 species